GUGUGUGGAGCCUUACGUGCUGUGGGCUGUGACACGCGGGGUAGUAGGUUUCCUUUUUGUGGUGGAGGCAGUGGAAUGAGCCUUUUUCUCCCACGUUGUCUCAUAGCAGGACAAAGGGGGUGAGCUGUGGGGUUCGCGGUUACUGGAGCAGGCGGCAGAGUCCGGGCCCUGAAAGUUCGUUUCCCGCCUUCCGGCCUGCUCAGGCCAGGUAAUCCGGCCCUGCACACCUGCCUUCCCACCUAGGUUCGCUUGUCUAACCCUGGGGUCCGGUUGGCCGUCGUUGUGGUAUAUCCUGGGGAGGGACUAGGGCGCUUUGCUGGAAGGAUGUGAAGACUUCUUGAGGAAGAAAGGCGCAUCCUUGGUCAGCGUUCCAGGAAGAAAUCUUGCUAAGUUUCACCACCUCCACAGCUUGGGUGCAAAGUCAGACGUUAUUAAAAGCAAGAUGACCUUAAUUUACACUUCAGAUUUUCAUGAGAUUUGGAGAUCCAGGGAUGUGUUAGAAAUUACAUCUUCGGAAACCAAUAGAAUAAACCUUGGAAUGUGUAAUUCGUCUCAUAAACGCCACAGCAGGUCUAUUUGACAAGCAGGAGGAAACCACAGCUCUGGCAGAAAACCAAGAUGAAGACCUACAAGAAG